rnacentral:tRNA from 1 species
AUUAUCUUGGCAGAGGAAUGCGUUAGAUUUAGGUUCUAGUUAUGUAAUGUUUAUUUACAGAUAAUA